rnacentral:rRNA from 1 species
AGAGUUUGAUCCUGGCUCAGAACGAACGCUGGCGGCAGGCCUAAUACAUGCAAGUCGAGCGCGCCCUUCGGGGUGAGCGGCGGACGGGUGAGUAACGCGUGGGAAUAUGCCCUUCUCUAAGGAAUAGCCUCGGGAAACUGAGAGUAAUACCUUAUACGCCCUUCGGGGGAAAGAUUUAUCGGAGAAGGAUUAGCCCGCGUUAGAUUAGGUAGUUGGUGGGGUAAUGGCCUACCAAGCCUACGAUCUAUAGCUGGUUUGAGAGGAUGAUCAGCCACACUGGGACUGAGACACGGCCCAGACUCCUACGGGAGGCAGCAGUAGGGAAUCUUAGACAAUGGGGGAAACCCUGAUCUAGCCAUGCCGCGUGUGUGAUGAAGGCCUUAGGGUCGUAAAGCACUUUCGCCAGAGAUGAUAAUGACAGUAUCUGGUAAAGAAACCCCGGCUAACUCCGUGCCAGCAGCCGCGGUAAUACGGAGGGGGUUAGCGUUGUUCGGAAUUACUGGGCGUAAAGCGUACGUAGGCGGAUUAGUAAGUUAGAGGUGAAAUCCCAGGGCUCAACCCUGGAACUGCCUUUAAUACUGCUAGUCUUGAGUUCGAGAGAGGUAAGUGGAAUUCCGAGUGUAGAGGUGAAAUUCGUAGAUAUUCGGAGGAACACCAGUGGCGAAGGCGGCUUACUGGCUCGAUACUGACGCUGAGGUACGAAAGUGUGGGGAGCAAACAGGAUUAGAUACCCUGGUAGUCCACACCGUAAACGAUGAAUGCCAGACGUCAGCAAGUAUACUUGUUGGUGUCACACCUAACGGAUUAAGCAUUCCGCCUGGGGAGUACGGUCGCAAGAUUAAAAC